rnacentral:tRNA from 1 species
GACCUCGUAGCUCAGUUGGUUAGAGCGCAAGAUUGUGGCUCUUGAGGUCGCGGGUUCGACCCCCGUCGAGGUCCCCA